rnacentral:rRNA from 1 species
AAUAGUCGAAAGGCUGAACCAGCAACUUGGAAGAAUCUAAAAUUUCCUAAGAAAAUUCUAAAUAAAAAGUGAUGAUGACAAUUUUUAUUUAUAAGUCUUGACCAAAUUACGUGCCAGCAGUCGCGGUAACACGCAGAAGACUAGUGUUAUUCAUCUUUAAUGGGUAUAAAGGGUACCUAGACGGAUUAUCAAGCCAAAUAAAGGGACUAAUUUUCUAGAGUUUAAUGAAAGAAUGUCGAAUUGCUGGAGGAGAGUCAACAUUUUUUGAUACCAGUGAGACGGAUAACAGCGAAGGCGCGAUUCUAUGUAAUAACUGACGUUGAGGUACGAAGCCUGGGGUAACGAUAAGGAUUAGAUACCCUAGUAGUCCCAGGAGAAAAUAAUGAGUGUUAUAUACUAGCCAACUAGUUUAUAAAUGAAAGUGUAAGCACUCCACCUCAUGAGUAAAGCGGCAACGCCGGAAUUGAAAUCAUUAGACCGUGUCUGAAACCAGUAGUGAAGUAUGUUAUUUAAUUCGAUAAUCCGCGAAUAAUCUUACCACGUUUUGAAUUUUACAAGCGCUGCACGGCUGUCUUCAGUUAAUGUCGUGAGACCAUGGUUAGUUCCAUUAAUUAGCGCAAGCCCUUUUUUUAUUUAUUAAAAUAAUUUAAUCCGUUGCUAUAAUGCACGGAAUAAUAGGGAUCAAGACAAGUCAUCAUGGCCUUAAUAACGU